rnacentral:rRNA from 2 species
CCCGGUGAUCUAGCCAUGGGCAGGUUGAAGGUUGGGUAACACUAACUGGAGGACCGAACCGACUAAUGUUGAAAAAUUAGCGGAUGACCUGUGGCUGGGGGUGAAAGGCCAAUCAAACCGGGAGAUAGCUGGUUCUCCCCGAAAGCUAUUUAGGUAGCGCCUCGUGAAUUCAUCUCCGGGGGUAGAGCACUGUUUCGGCUAGGGGGCCAUCCCGGCUUACCAACCCGAUGCAAACUGCGAAUACCGGAGAAUGUUAUCACGGGAGACACACGGCGGGUGCUAACGUCCGUCGUGAAGAGGGAAACAACCCAGACCGCCAGCUAAGGUCCCAAAGUCAUGGUUAAGUGGGAAACGAUGUGGGAAGGCCCAGACAGCCAGGAUGUUGGCUUAGAAGCAGCCAUCAUUUAAAGAAAGCGUAAUAGCUCACUGGUCGAGUCGGCCUGCGCGGAAGAUGUAACGGGGCUAAACCAUG